rnacentral:rRNA from 1 species
UACAGAGGGUGCGAGCGUUAAUCGGACUUACUGGGCGUAAAGGGCGCGUAGGCGGUUAGUUAAGUGAGAUGUGAAAUCCCUGGGCUCAACCUGGGACGGUCAUUUUAAACUGGCUAACUUGAGUGCAGUAGAGGGGAGUGGAAUUUCCAGUGUAGCGGUGAAAUGCGUAGAUAUUGGAAGGAACAUCAGUGGCGAAGGCGCUCCCUGGACUGUAACUGACGCUGAGGCGCGAAAGCGUGGGGAGCAAACG